rnacentral:rRNA from 1 species
AGAGUUUGAUCCUGGCUCAGGAUGAACGCUAGCUACAGGCUUAACACAUGCAAGUCGAGGGGAAACGACAUCGAAAGCUUGCUUUUGGUGGGCGUCGACCGGCGCACGGGUGAGUAACGCGUAUCCAACCUGCCCACCACUUGGGGAUAACCUUGCGAAAGUAAGACUAAUACCCAAUGAUAUCUCUAGAAGACAUCUGAAAGAGAUUAAAGAUUUAUCGGUGAUGGAUGGGGAUGCGUCUGAUUAGCUUGUUGGCGGGGUAACGGCCCACCAAGGCAACGAUCAGUAGGGGUUCUGAGAGGAAGGUCCCCCACAUUGGAACUGAGACACGGUCCAAACUCCUACGGGAGGCAGCAGUGAGGAAUAUUGGUCAAUGGACGAGAGUCUGAACCAGCCAAGUAGCGUGCAGGAUGACGGCCCUAUGGGUUGUAAACUGCUUUUAUAAGGGAAUAAAGUGAGUCUCGUGAGACUUUUUGCAUGUACCUUAUGAAUAAGGACCGGCUAAUUCCGUGCCAGCAGCCGCGGUAAUACGGAAGGUCCGGGCGUUAUCCGGAUUUAUUGGGUUUAAAGGGAGCGUAGGCCGGAGAUUAAGCGUGUUGUGAAAUGUAGAUGCUCAACAUCUGCACUGCAGCGCGAACUGGUUUCCUUGAGUACGCACAAAGUGGGCGGAAUUCGUGGUGUAGCGGUGAAAUGCUUAGAUAUCACGAAGAACUCCGAUUGCGAAGGCAGCUCACUGGAGCGCAACUGACGCUGAAGCUCGAAAGUGCGGGUAUCGAACAGGAUUAGAUACCCUGGUAGUCCGCACGGUAAACGAUGG